UUGCUUGUUUUCUUUGGCUUGAACACUUAUCUUUUCUUUCUUUAUAAAGCCUGGCUACUGCUCUCUUCUCUGCUGUUUGCACUGGUCAUCACUGGAUCUAGUUGAGUUUUUAUUCCCACCCAGACUCCUGCUGCUUAUCUGAAUGAUCUAGCUUCGUUCAGAUACAGUGCAAGCAAGAUUUUUGGUCUUUUGUGUUUGGGCACCUUUAAUAUCCUCUUGCUGUAUUUUUUAGAUGAGGAAGAGUCUUUGCAGCUAAGAUAUUAUUCAUUUUCCUGGAAUAAUUUUUGGUAUGUAUUUUACAUUAAUUUAGAAAAAUAAACUUGACAUUCAGUACCAUUUCAGGUCCACUGGGUAACUGUCAAAAUGGCUGCACCUGUUUUCUUGCAAACUGGGCAAAUUUGCAAUUUGUUGACAGGGUGUAAACUAAUAAUCAGUGAAAGCAUGUGAAAUUACAAAUCAAACAAAAGUUCAAACUGAGAUGAAAAUAUGCAAGCCC
rnacentral:lncRNA from 1 species